GCAUCGGUAGCUCAGCGGUAGAGCAGGAGACUCUUAAUCUCUUGGUCGCGGGUUCGAUCCCCGCCCGGUGCACCA
rnacentral:tRNA from 6 species